UGCGAUUAAGGGUUUUCACCCUUUUACUUUACUCUUUCUGCGAUUCACCUGCGACUCCGAUUCACCUGGGUAUGCAUUCACCGCGGAUAUCCAUUUAGUCUCCGUGAAGGUGUCCCAACAGAUCUUUCUCAUGGACUACGGCUUAACAUUUGUAGCAAUUGGAGAGUUCCUCCACCUGGAAGACAAAGAGAAUCCAGUCUUACGUUCUAGUUCCCAAUGAAGGAAACAUCCAUUUCAUAUGAGACUCUAAUAAAGUGGACUAAGGGUUUCAGUAUUGAUGAUAUGGUUGGGGAGAUGUGAUGGGAGAACUAACCAAUUCCUUGGAAAAAAUCGGCCUGGAUAUGGGGGCUGCUGCUCUAAUAUCAUAACAAGGACAUCAUGGACCUGAAGUUGUCUUCUGAUGGUGCAUACUCCUGCGUCGACGGGAUUCACAAAUCUAUUUCUACAAACUACAAAAUCCGUCCCUCUGAUACUCUCUCCACCAUUGCUGGCUCUGUUUACGGUGUAUGGUGUAUAUAAACUGCUUUUUGAUUGCUGACUAUUGUUAUUCAUUUUACAACAUGUGCUUCAAAUUUUCUGAAAUAUGCUUCUGAUUUCGGCUUGCUUGUCCCUAAUGGAAGUUAUGCCAUUACAGUAGGCCAUUGUGUGCAAUGUAGCUGUGGACCCCGAAACUUAAAGUAAUUACUAAGCAUCUUUUCUUUUUUCUGUUUGCAAUUCAUACCUUGCUCUUCUUGUAGAUAAAUUUAGAUACUUUUGUAGGAUCGUUUGGUUUGUGGCAAAAGCUUGAAA